GAUGAACGCUGGCGGCGUGCCUAAUACAUGCAAGUCGAGCGAACAGACGAGGAGCUUGCUCCUCUGACGUUAGCGGCGGACGGGUGAGUAACACGUGGAUAACCUACCUAUAAGACUGGGAUAACUUCGGGAAACCGGAGCUAAUACCGGAUAAUAUAUUGAACCGCAUGGUUCAAUAGUGAAAGACGGUUUUGCUGUCACUUAUAGAUGGAUCCGCGCCGCAUUAGCUAGUUGGUAAGGUAACGGCUUACCAAGGCAACGAUGCGUAGCCGACCUGAGAGGGUGAUCCGCCACACUGGAACUGAGACACGGUCCAGACUCCUACGGGAGGCAGCAGUAGGGACUCUUCCGCAAUGGGCGAAAGCUUGACGGAGCAACGCCGCGUGAGUGAUGAAGGUCUUCGGAUCGUAAAACUCUGUUAUUAGGGAAGAAGAAAUGUGUAAUUAACUAUGCACGUCUUGACGGUACCGAAUCAGAAAGCCACGGCUAACUACGUG
rnacentral:rRNA from 1 species